rnacentral:rRNA from 1 species
CCCUACGGGGGGCAGCAGUGGGGAAUAUUGGACAAUGGGCGAAAGCCUGAUCCAGCAAUGCCGCGUGAGUGAUGAAGGCCUUAGGGUUGUAAAGCUCUUUUACCCGGGAUGAUAAUGACAGUACCGGGAGAAUAAGCUCCGGCUAACUCCGUGCCAGCAGCCGCGGUAAUACGGAGGGAGCUAGCGUUGUUCGGAAUUACUGGGCGUAAAGCGCACGUAGGCGGCUUUGUAAGUUAGAGGUGAAAGCCUGGAGCUUAACUCCAGAAUUGCCUUUAAGACUGCAUCGCUUGAAUCCGGGAGAGGUGAGUGGAAUUCCGAGUGUAGAGGUGAAAUUCGUAGAUAUUCGGAAGAACACCAGUGGCGAAGGCGGCUCACUGGACCGGUAUUGACGCUGAGGUGCGAAAGCGUGGGGAGCAAACAGGAUUAGAUACCCGAGUAGUCCA